CCACUUUCAUCCUAUAAGAUAUCAAGCAGUAGAAAACUUGUUAGAGAUGCUGCUGCAUUACGACCAAGUACACAUUAUGCGGUAAACUCUGAACUGGAAACUCACAGUAUUAGGCUGCCAUAGGAAAGCACUGUGGGUGAUGUCCUUGAGCAUCUCAUGGAGAAGGUGAAACUUUCUCGUCCAAAUGCAGAGCUAAGGCUUCUGGAAGUAUUAUCGCACAAGAUCUAUAAGAUAUAUCCUAACAGUGAUAAGAUCGCAGCAAUAAAUGACAAUCGUUGGACUUUACGACCAAAGGAGGUUCCAGAGGUAGAGAAAUUUCUUGGCCCAAGUAAAUGUUUGAUUCAUGUGUGUCACUUCAUGCAUGAGGAUGCUCAAAACCAGACGGUUAUCCACUUUCAUCCUAUAAGAUAUCAAGCAGUAGAAAACUUGUUAGAGAUGCUGCUGCAUUACGACCAAGUACACAUUAUGCGGUAAACUCUGAACUGGAAACUCACAGUAUUAGGCUGCCAAGGGAAAGCACUGUGGGUGAUGUCCUUGAGCAUCUCAUGGAGAAGGUGAAACUUUCUCGUCCAAAUGCAGAGCUAAGGCUUCUGGAAGUAUUAUCGCACAAGAUCUAUAAGAUAUAUCCUAACAGUGAUAAGAUCGCAGCAAUAAAUGACAAUCGUUGGACUUUACGACCAAAGGAGGUUCCAGAGGUAGAGAAAUUUCUUGGCCCAAGUAAAUGUUUGAUUCAUGUGUGUCACUUCAUG